rnacentral:rRNA from 1 species
AGUGAACGCUGGCGGUAGGCCUAACACAUGCGAGUCGAACGGCAGCACAGUAAGAGCUUGCUCUUACGGGUGGCGAGUGGCGGACGGGUGAGGAAUACAUCGGAAUCUACUUUUUCGUGGGGGAUAACGUAGGGAGACUUACGCUAAUACCGCAUACGACCUACGGGUGAAAGCAGGGGAUCUUCGGACCUUGCGCGAUUGAAUGAGCCGAUGUCGGAUUAGCUAGUUGGCGGGGUAAAGGCCCACCAAGGCGAUGAUCCGUAGCUGGUCUGAGAGGAUGAUCAGCCACACUGGAACUGAGACACGGUCCAGACUCCUACGGGAGGCAGCAGUGGGGAAUAUUGGACAAUGGGCGCAAGCCUGAUCCAGCCAUACCGCGUGGGUGAAGAAGGCCUUCGGGUUGUAAAGCCCUUUUGUUGGGAAAGAAAAGCAGCAGGUUAAUACCCCGCUGUUCUGACGGUACCCAAAGAAUAAGCACCGGCUAACUUCGUG